CUCAGGAUGAACGCUAGCGGCAGGCUUAACACAUGCAAGUCGAGGGGUAUGCCGAUUUAUCGGCAGGAGACCGGCGCACGGGUGCGUAACGCGUAUGCAAUCUACCUUUCACAGAGGGAUAGCCCAGAGAAAUUUGGAUUAAUACCUCAUAGUAUAGCGGUUUCGCAUGAAACCACUAUUAAAGUUCCAACGGUGAAAGAUGAGCAUGCGUCCCAUUAGCUAGAUGGUAAGGUAACGGCUUACCAUGGCUACGAUGGGUAGGGGGUCCUGAGAGGGAGAUCCCCCACACUGGUACUGAGACACGGACCAGACUCCUACGGGAGGCAGCAGUGAGGAAUAUUGGUCAAUGGACGCAAGUCUGAACCAGCCAUGCCGCGUGCAGGAUGACGGUCCUAUGGAUUGUAAACUGCUUUUGUACGAGAAGAAACAACAUUACGUGUAAUGUCUUGACGGUAUCGUAAGAAUAAGGAUCGGCUAACUCCGUG
rnacentral:rRNA from 1 species